UGGGGAAUAUUGCGCAAUGGGGGGAACCCUGACGCAGCCAUGCCGCGUGAAUGAAGAAGGCCUUAGGGUUGUAAAGUUCUUUCGGUAUUGAGGAAGGUUGAUGUGUUAAUAGCACAUCAAAUUGACGUUAAAUACAGAAGAAGCACCGGCUAACUCCGUGCCAGCAGCCGCGGUAAUACGGAGGGUGCGAGCGUUAAUCGGAAUAACUGGGCGUAAAGGGCACGCAGGCGGUUAUUUAAGUGAGGUGUGAAAGCCCCGGGCUUAACCUGGGAAUUGCAUUUCAGACUGGGUAACUAGAGUACUUUAGGGAGGGGUAGAAUUCCGCGUGUAGCGGUGAAAUGCGUAGAGAUGUGGAGGAAUACCGAAGGCGAAGGCAGCCCCUUGGGAAUGUACUGACGCUCAUGUGCGAAAGCGUGGGGAGCGAACAGGAUUAGAUACCCUGGUAGUCCACGCUGUAAACGCUGUCGAUUUGGGGGUUGGGGUUUAACUCUGGCGCCCGUAGCUAACGUGAUAAAUCGACCGCCUGGGGAGUACGGCCGCAAGGUU
rnacentral:rRNA from 1 species